rnacentral:rRNA from 1 species
UACGGAGGAUGCGAGCGUUAUCCGGAUUUAUUGGGUUCAAAGGGUGCGUAGGCGGACGCUUAAGUCAGCGGUAAAAUUGCGGGGCUCAACCUCGUCGAGCCGUUGAAACUGGGUGCCUUGAGUGGGCGAGAAGUACGCGGAAUGCGUGGUGUAGCGGUGAAAUGCAUAGAUAUCACGCAGAACUCCGAUUGCGAAGGCAGCGUACCGGCGCCCAACUGACGCUGAAGCGCGAAGGCGUGGGUAUCGAACAGG